rnacentral:rRNA from 1 species
AUGAACGCUGGCGGCGUGCCUAAUACAUGCAAGUCGAGCGAACAGACGAGGAGCUUGCUCCUCGGACGUUAGCGGCGGACGGGUGAGUAACACGUGGAUAACCUACCUAUAAGACUGGGAUAACUUCGGGAAACCGGAGCUAAUACCGGAUAAUAUAUUGAACCGCAUGGUUCAAUAGUGAAAGACGGUUUUGCUGUCACUUAUAGAUGGAUCCGCGCCGCAUUAGCUAGUUGGUAAGGUAACGGCUUACCAAGGCAACGAUGCGUAGCCGACCUGAGAGGGUGAUCGGCCACACUGGAACUGAGACACGGUCCAGACUCCUACGGGAGGCAGCAGUAGGGAAUCUUCCGCAAUGGGCGAAAGCCUGACGGAGCAACGCCGCGUGAGUGAUGAAGGUCUUCGGAUCGUAAAACUCUGUUAUUAGGGAAGAACAAAUGUGUAAGUAACUAUGCACGUCUUGACGGUACCUAAUCAGAAAGCCACGGCUAACUACGUG